rnacentral:rRNA from 1 species
UGCACCGAAGCUGCGGCAGCGACGCUUAUGCGUUGUUGGGUAGGGGAGCGUUCUGUAAGCCUGCGAAGGUGGCCUGUGAGGGUUGCUGGAGGUAUCAGAAGUGCGAAUGCUGACAUAAGUAACGAUAAAGCGGGUGAAAAGCCCGCUCGCCGGAAGACCAAGGGUUCCUGUCCAACGUUAAUCGGGGCAGGGUGAGUCGACCCCUAAGGCGAGGCCGAAAGGCGUAGUCGAUGGGAAACGGGUUAAUAUUCCCGUACUUGGUGUUACUGCGAAGGGGGGACGGAGAAGGCUAUGUUGGCCGGGCGACGGUUGUCCCGGUUUAAGCGUGUAGGUGUGUGUUCCAGGUAAAUCCGGUUCACUUUAACACUGAGGCGUGACGACGAGGCACUACGGUGCUGAAGCAACAAAUGCCCUGCUUCCAGGAAAAGCCUCUAAGCAUCAGGUAACAUCAAAUCGUACCCCAAACCGACACAGGUGGUCAGGUAGAGAAUACCAAGGCGCUUGAGAGAACUCGGGUGAAGGAACUAGGCAAAAUGGUGCCGUAACUUCGGGAGAAGGCACGCUGACACGUAGGUGAAGUGAUUUACUCAUGGAGCUGAAGUCAGUCGAAGAUACCAGCUGGCUGCAACUGUUUAUUAAAAACACAGCACUGUGCAAACACGAAAGUGGACGUAUACGGUGUGACGCCUGCCCGGUGCCGGAAGGUUAAUUGAUGGGGUCAGCGCAAGCGAAGCUCCUGAUCGAAGCCCCGGUAAACGGCGGCCGUAACUAUAACGGUCCUAAGGUAGCGAAAUUCCUUGUCGGGUAAGUUCCGACCUGCACGAAUGGCGUAAUGAUGGCCAGGCUGUCUCCACCCGAGACUCAGUGAAAUUGAACUCGCUGUGAAGAUGCAGUGUACCCGCGGCAAGACGGAAAGACCCCGUGAACCUUUACUAUAGCUUGACACUGAACAUUGAGCCUUGAUGUGUAGGAUAGGUGGGAGGCUUUGAAGUGUGGACGCCAGUCUGCAUGGAGCCGACCUUGAAAUACCACCCUUUAAUGUUUGAUGUUCUAACGUGGACCCGUUACCCGGGUUGCGGACAGUGUCUGGUGGGUAGUUUGACUGGGGCGGUCUCCUCCUAAAGAGUAACGGAGGAGCACGAAGGUUGGCUAAUCCUGGUCGGACAUCAGGAGGUUAGUGCAAUGGCAUAAGCCAGCUUGACUGCGAGCGUGACGGCGCGAGCAGGUGCGAAAGCAGGUCAUAGUGAUCCGGUGGUUCUGAAUGGAAGGGCCAUCGCUCAACGGAUAAAAGGUACUCCGGGGAUAACAGGCUGAUACCGCCCAAGAGUUCAUAUCGACGGCGGUGUUUGGCACCUCGAUGUCGGCUCAUCACAUCCUGGGGCUGAAGUAGGUCCCAAGGGUAUGGCUGUUCGCCAUUUAAAGUGGUACGCGAGCUGGGUUUAGAACGUCGUGAGACAGUUCGGUCCCUAUCUGCCGUGGGCGCUGGAGAACUGAGGGGGGCUGCUCCUAGUACGAGAGGACCGGAGUGGACGCAUCACUGGUGUUCGGGUUGUCAUGCCAAUGGCACUGCCCGGUAGCUAAAUGCGGAAGAGAUAAGUGCUGAAAGCAUCUAAGCACGAAACUUGCCCCGAGAUGAGUUCUCCCUGAGACUUAGAGUCUCCUGAAGGAACGUUGAAGACGACGACGUUGAUAGGCCGGGUGUGUAAGCGCAGCGAUGCGUUGAGCUAACCGGUACUAAUGAACCGUGAGGCUUAACCUUACAACGCCGAAG